GAUGAACGCUGGCGGCGUGCCUAAUACAUGCAAGUCGAGCGAACAGACGAGGAGGUUGUUCCUCUGACGUUAGCGGCGGACGGGUGUGUAACACGUGGAGAACCUACCUAUAAGACUGGGAUAACUUCGGGAAACCGGAUCUACUACCGGAUAAUAUAUUGAACCGCAGGGUUCAAUAGUGAAAGACGGUUUUGCUGUCAGUUAUCGAUGGAUCCACGCCGCAUUAGCUAGUUGGUAAGGUAACGGCUUACCAAGGCGACGAUGCGUAGCCGACCUGAGAGGGUGAUCGGCCACACUGGAACUGAGACACGGUCCAGACUCCUACGGGAGGCAGCAGUAGGGAAUCUUCCGCAAUGGGCGAAAGCCUGACGCAGCAACGCCGCGUGAGUGAUGAAGGUCUUCGGAUCGUAAAACUCUGUUAUUAGGGAAGAACAAAUGUGUACGUAAAUAUGCACGUCUUGACGGUACCUGAUCAGAAAGCACCGGCUAACUACGUG
rnacentral:rRNA from 1 species